GGUAUGCUAUUAAAACCCAUUAGUUAUAUUUCAACAAUUCCACAACUUUUUAGCACUCUUGAAUCUCAGCACGUCAUAGAUGGACAUUCAACAAGGGUGGAUAAGCGCAACUUUUUUUACAGCGUUCAUGGCACGCAAUGUCGGUGCCACAACCGACAUCGCAAUUCCGGUAACAUAUGAUCCGUUGGUCUACUUCAUUCGACAAGGGUGGGUAACCACAAGUUUUCUUACAACGUUCAUGGCAUGCAUUAUUAGUCUCACAGCCGACAUCGCAAUUCCGGUAACAUAUGACCCGUUGGUCUACUUGAUUCACCAAGGGUGGGUAACCACAACUUUUCUUACAACGUUCAUGACACGCAUUGUCAGUUCCACAACCCACAACGCAAUUCCGGUAACAUAUGACUCGUUGGUCUACUUCAUUGACACCUAUAAACAUCAUAAGAAUCAUUAUUUUUAACUUUAAUAUUAUAUCAGUCAAAUAAUUAUCAAAAUAACCCGAUAACUAUAGAUUUCGAUUAAUAGUUUUCGAAUUCAUGAUAUGAUUAUAAAUGUAGGGAAAUGCUUAUAUAAUAUAGAUUGCUAGUUCUAGCUACUUGUGUCGGAAUGCUGAAAGGAUGAAGGAAAAGCACAUCUGAAGACACAACUCGUGCAAGGUAUAGUUUUUAUGUUUUGACAUAAGGACUUGCAGACAGUUUCCUGACACUCGGUCAUAGUUUUUGCUCUCAC
rnacentral:lncRNA from 1 species